GUCAUAGCUCAGUGGCAGAACACCUGCUUUGCCUGCAGAAGGUUCCAGGUUCAAUCCCUGGCAUCUGCA
rnacentral:tRNA from 1 species